UGGCAGAAUACUCUAGGCGGGGUCCC
rnacentral:piRNA from 1 species